UACGGGGGGGGCAAGCGUUGUUCGGAAUUACUGGGCGUAAAGGGCUCGUAGGCGGCCAACUAAGUCGGAUGUGAAAUCCCCAGGCUCAACCUGGGAACUGCAUCCGAUACUGGAUGGCUUGAAUUCGGGAGAGGGAUGCAGAAUUCCAGGUGUAGCAGUGAAAUGCGUAGAUAUCUGGAGGAAUACCGGUGGCGAAGGCGGCAUCCUGGACCGACAUUGACGCUGAUGAGCGAAAGCUAGGGGAGCAAACGGG
rnacentral:rRNA from 1 species